rnacentral:rRNA from 1 species
GACGGAGGGUGCGAGCGUUAUUCGGAAUCAUUGGGCGUAAAGAGCGUGUAGGCGGCCGGUUAAGUCAGGUGUGAAAGCCCGGGGCUCAACCUCGGAAGUGCACUUGAAACUGGUCGGCUUGAGUUCGGGAGAGGGAAGCGGAAUUCCUGGUGUAGAGGUGAAAUUCGUAGAUAUCAGGAGGAACACCGGUGGCGAAGGCGGCUUCCUGGACCGAAACUGACGCUGAGACGCGAAAGCGUGGGGAGCAAACAGG